rnacentral:misc_RNA from 1 species
UUAUCAUUUAGAGGAAGGAGAAGUCGUAACAAGGUUUCCGUAGGUGAACCUGCGGAAGGAUCAUUGUCGAGGCCCGAACGGACAAUCGCGAACCUGUCAACGCUCCCGCAGGGGCGGAGGGACGGCGGCAUUCGCCCGCCUGACCCCGCCACCCCGGGGAACCCAUGGCCGCCCCCGUCCCGCCCCGUUGCGGGACGGGCGGCGGGAACAAUACCCGGCGCAGUGGGCGCCAAGGAACAUUCACAGUCGGGGGAGAGCGCCGCAAGCCGGUUCUGGCAUGCGGUGCGAUCCUUCUAUACAAGUUGAACUUUUACGACUCUCGGCAACGGAUAUCUUGGCUCUCGCAUCGAUGAAGAACGUAGCGAAAUGCGAUACUUGGUGUGAAUUGCAGAAUCCCGUGAAYCAUCGAGUCUUUGAACGCAAGUUGCGCCCGAGGCUAUCCGGCUGAGGGCACGCCUGCCUGGGCGUCAUGCCUCGCGUCGCUCUGCGCACCCUGAGCCACCCUUCGAGCACGGGCGGUGGCGGGCGCGGAUGCGGAGAUUGGCCCCCCAUGCCUUGCGGCGCGGCGGGCCGAAGUGCAGGUCGCCGGCCGGGAACGGAUGCGGCGAGUGGUGGACGGACACGUACGGCGCCGGACGCUGCCUCCGCCCCCGGCUGCAGUGGUGCAUGCUAGGAACCCACGCCGUCGGGUGCGCUCGUACGCGCCCCUCGGAACCCGACCCCAGGUCAGGCGGGGCCACCCGCUGAGCUUAAGCAUAUC